CCGAGCUGCACGUGACCCACACGAGACUCCAGUGAGCCGCCAUGGUCAGACGCGAAAUACACAAGCGUGUUGUCCGUCAGUCCUUCCCGGUCCAGCACGUCCAGGACCCGCCCUAAAGGUCUCCGCCUCCCGGAGCAUGAGGCCUGUAACUCGCUCGAGGCGCAGGGGCUGCUGGGUCACGCUGUGGUUUCUCAUGAGGAAGCAAUCUGCGUAGAUGAUGAGGUCACCUAUGUGACGCGAUGCAGCAAGGAACAUGGUGGCCACAGCAGCCAGGCCGAGGACCAGCAUCCACCGCGGUGUCCGCAGGAGCCGGAUGACAUCACCACACGCUCUACGAAGGAUGACAUCAUCACCAGAUCCAUGUGUGAUGAUGACACAACCAGCGCCAAGUCUGGUGACAUCACUACCCAUCCAGGUCAGAUGAUGUCACCACCCCCUA